UGGUGACCGGCGUACGGGUGAGUAACGCGUAUCCAACCUGCCCUUUACUAUGGGACAGCCCGUCGAAAGGCGGAUUAAUACCGUAUGUUGUCAUGUUGAUGCAUAUUUUCAUGACCAAAGGCUUCGGCCGGUAAAGGAUGGGGAUGCGUCUGAUUAGCUUGCCGGCGGGGUAACGGCCCACCGGGGCGACGAUCAGUAGGGGUUCUGAGAGGAAGGUCCCCCACAUUGGAACUGAGACACGGUCCAAACUCCUACGGAAGGCAGCAG
rnacentral:rRNA from 1 species